rnacentral:lncRNA from 1 species
GAAGAAGUUUAUGCUAUACAGAUUACAGUACCAUUUUACAGAUUACACCAUCAAUAUCACAAAGCAAACUGUACUCUAGAUUUUUCAUAUAAAAGGAAGGUAUUCAAUACAAGGGCAAUUACAAUAUUGAUGAACCAAACAACCUGAAAAACAAUCAGUUUACCCCUUAUUAGAUCAAUCACUGUGAUUGCGCUUCAAGUUAGAAGGCGAAGGAGGAGAAGAAACCAAAUGCCUCCAAAGAUACUUUCCACUAGCCAUAUCUACGCAGGUCCAAAAUCCUUUCCCAAUGGCGCUGCACACCUGAUAAUUACAAACAAGCCAGCAAAUUACAAUUAAAAUUGAGCAAACAAAAAAUAGGGAAGAUGUGAACCUAAGAAAAUAUGGAUACUUGGGAGGAGAGAGGAACCGAAUUUGAGUCUCUGGAUAAAUCGUCGUGACUGUUGUCGGCGCCGGCGCCGGCAACAUCGUCGUCGGGAUCAACAUUAGGCUGAGAUUUGAGGUUCCGGAGAACGAAGAAUCCGGCGAGAGUUGCAGAAAGGAAGAUGAGAAUGAUCCUAAGGGGACACAUUCGGUUUGUUUCUCUCUCUAUACGAAGUUUGAGGUUUUCAGAGAGAGAAAGUUUUAAUAAUCAGAGAGGAAAGAGGGAAAUGAUGAAAUGAAGAAGGCAAGCUGAGGUGGAAAGUGGAUAAUUUUUGUAUUUUUACUCUAAAUAUAGUAUUUAUUUUAAUUAUUAUUUAUAUUAUAUUAUAUUGUUAAAUAUCGUUAUUAAUAAUAAAAAGUAUUAUUUAAAAAAAUUAUUUUGUGUCUCAUAUAACUGACACUAGUUAUGUGAGACAUUUUUCUAUCUUACAACUAUGUGGGUCUCAGAAUUUUAUUGACUCAUAUGUAUAAGAUACGGGUCCACAAAUAUAUGACAUAAAAAAAUGUCUUACACAACUAGUGUUAGUUGUAUAAGACACAUAAUAAAAUCACUCGUCAUUUUAUGUAACGGUCAAAUUGAUGUGGUUUCGUCAUUACCUUUUUUUCUCAUCUUAUCAUUAUUAUUAAGUAACUAGUAGUCGUACUAGCGCGAUGCACAGUCAAUAUUAAAAACUAUUAAUUAAAUUAAAUUAUAAUCGGACUUGUUUGAUCCAAUUGAUUUUAUUGCUUUCAUAAAAUUUAAUUAUCAUCUUACUUGUCAAUAGGAUAUACCCAAUAAUGAAAUCUCUAUUAAAUCAAAGUUACUUAUAUAGUUACUGAAUAACUUUUUUAUUCUAUAUAUUAACCAAUAUUUAAUAUUCGCUUUUUUUUGUCAUAUAUGAGAAGAUUUAUAUUACUGUUGAAUUAUUUUUUUAGUUUAAAUUUAAAAUUCUAUUGUUCUUAGUAAUAUUAUCUAAAUUUUAAGAAAUAAAAUCUUUGUUAAACUAACGGAACUUAUGUAGGGAGCGGAUUGAAUAACUUUUUUGUUAUGUAUUUUCUUUUAUCAUUUCAUCUAAUAUUUAAUAUUAUUACAUGGUUAAUAAAAAGUUUUAUUAGCAUAUUAACUUAUAAAAAAUUUUCUCUUAAACUUUUUUUAUGUCUUUAUAUUCGUUUUACUUAUUUUAAGAUAAUUCUAAAACUCCAGCUUGAAACUAAUCCCCAAUUUGAAUAGGUAAUUUAUUAUUUUUUUAAUUUUAUUUUUUAUUGUAAAACUCUAACUUAAAACUACAUCCCGAUUUGAAUGGGUAGUUUUUCUUCUCUUUCUUUCUUUCUUAUAGCUAAUUCUUUUUCUUUUAAUUUAAGAUAAUUUAUAAACUCCAACUUGAAACUACUCCCACCGAAUUUGAAUGGGUAGUUAUUAUUUUAUAUAUUUAAUUUUUUAAUUAUAUUUAAUUAUAAGAUAUCUAUAUUUAUUAAUUCAAACAAAGUAACCAAUUUUUAUAUAUAUAUAUUUUUACAGAUUACACCAUCAAUAUCACAAAGCAAACUGUACUCUAGAUUUUUCAUAUAAAAGGAAGGUAUUCAAUACAAGGGCAAUUACAAUAUUGAUGAACCAAACAACCUGAAAAACAAUCAGUUUACCCCUUAUUAGAUCAAUCACUGUGAUUGCGCUUCAAG